GACGAACGCUGGCGGCGUGCCUAAUACAUGCAAGUCGAGCGAAGUUUUUCUGGUGCUUGCACUAGAAACACUUAGCGGCGAACGGGUGAGUCACACGUAAAGAACCUGCCUCAUAGACUGGGACCACUAUUGGAAACGAUAGCUAAUACCGGAUAACAGUAUUUCUCGCAUGAGAGAUAUUUAAAAGUUGGUUAUGCUAACACUAUGAGAUGGCUUUGCGGUGCAUUAGCUAGUUGGUGGGGUAAAGGCCCACCAAGGCGACGAUGCAUAGCCGACCGGAGAGGGUGAUCGGCCACACGGGAACUGAGACCCGGCCCAGACUCCUACGGGAGGCAGCGGUAGGGAAUCUUCCGCAAUGGGCGAAGGCCUGACGGAGCAACGCCGCGUGAGUGAAGAAGGAUUUCGGUUCGUAAAGCUCUGUUGUUAGGGAAGAAUGGAUAUGUAGUAACUAUACAUGUAAGAGACGGUACCUAACCAGAAAGCCACGGCUAACUACGU
rnacentral:rRNA from 1 species